UUGAUUUAUUCCAUUUUCUCAGACGAGCUCAAAUCUCUGCAAUGGCGGCUUGCACUGUGAAUGUGCUCAGGUGACUGGCUCCAGCGACUCUGCUUCAUCGACGUGCUGCGUGGUGCUCAGCUUUGGAAGAAGGCCAUGCUCAUCUAUUUGAAGAGAAGUGCAUAUGAGAAGUAUAUAGAAUAUUACUACCUCCUUAUAUAAGUUUCAGAAAGUCUUGAUCCCAGUUUUGCAAGAGACAGGUAGGUUACACAAGGCAAUCUCAUCUGAUGUUGGAUGAUUUCAUUAAGGUACUUUCCAAUUUACUGUAUAAUCUUAAUCUGUCAUUGGUGAGAAAAAAAUUCUUGGGUAUAAUUGAGGUCGGGAUUGUGACCUAUGAGCAUUUGUAAACAUUUUUGUAAUAUUUCUAUUUAUAGUGAAAGACAUGCAGCAGUUCGUCGUGAA